GACGAACGCUGGCGGCGUGCUUAACACAUACAAGUCGAACGGAAAGGCCCUGCUUUUGUGGGGUGCUCGAGUGGCGAACGGGUGAGUAACACGUGAGUAACCUGCCCUUGACUUUGGGAUAUCUUCAGGAAACUGGGGCUAAUACCGGAUAGGAGCUCCUGCUGCAUGGUGGGGGUUGGAAAGUUUCGGCGGUUGGGGAUGGACUCGCGGCUUAUCAGCUUGUUGGUGGGGUAGUGGCUUACCAAGGCUUUGACGGGUAGCCGGCCUGAGAGGGUGACCGGCCACAUUGGGACUGAGAUACGGCCCAGACUCCUACGGGAGGCAGCAGUGGGGAAUAUUGCACAAUGGGCGGAAGCCUGAUGCAGCAACGCCGCGUGCGGGAUGACGGCCUUCGGGUUGUAAACCGCUUUCGCCUGUGACGAAGCGUGAGUGACGGUAAUGGGUAAAGAAGCACCGGCUAACUACGUG
rnacentral:rRNA from 1 species